rnacentral:rRNA from 1 species
AUUGAACGCUGGCGGCAGGCCUUACACAUGCAAGUCGAACGAGUGGCGGACGGGUGAGUAAUGUCUUGGAAACUGCCCGAUGGUGGGGGAUAACUACUGGAAACGUUAGCUAAUACCGCAUACUAUCGGAUGUGCCCAUAUGGGAUUAGCUAGUAGGUGGGGUAACGGCCCACCUAGGCGACGAUCCCUAGCUGGUCUGAGAGGAUGACCAGCCACACUGGAACUGAGACACGGUCCAGACUCCUACGGGAGGCAGCAGUGGGGAAUAUUGCACAAUGGGCGCAAGCCUGAUGCAGCCAUGCCGCGUGUAUGAAGAAGGCCUUCGGGUUGUAAAGGACUUUUGGCAGGGAAGCGGUACUUGCAGAAGAAGCAUCGGCUAACUCCGUGCCAGCCGCCGCGGUAAUUC